GAUGGAUAGAGGUUGGAAGAAAAAAAUAAAUUGUCUAAAGAAUAUGGAGAGGGAGUUGAAUAUUUCAUAAAAUUUGGAGAAUAUACCAACUUUUUCCCUGUGUUAUGCUCAUAUACUCGAUCAGUCCCCGUAUUUUGUUAAAUGACAAAUUAGACCUAUGUUUUGCAAAAUAGAUCAAUUUAAUACAAUAGAUCCAAUUUUGGUCAAACUAUUUUCAAAUAUGACCUAAACGCCCUUAAGUCUUAUUGAAUAUUGAAUUUUAAACUAUAUUAAAUUUAAUUUUUAAAAUUAAAACCAAAAUUAAAAUAUGUAAUAUUUAAUUUAAACAAAAUUAUAAUUUUAAUCUCUAUAGAAAACUUAAAUAAAUAAACUAAAAAAUUUAAACAAACUUAAUUUAGGCUAACACUAAAACUAAAUAAAAUUUAAAAAAAAAACAAAAACCCUAAAAUUAAACCAUUUCCCCCAUCCCAUUCUUCUUCUUCUUCUUCUUCUUAUUCGUUGGCCAGAGCCUCAGUCCCGACUCCUCCAAAUCCUAGCCCGCCAGAUGUUGACUCCUCUAGAUCCUAGCCCGCCAGAUCUUUGCCUAACUUUGCUGAUCCCAACCCAGAUUUGGGUCCCAUUUCCCCUGCCAGACCUCGCGUCGUUGCCACAAGCUCAUCCAUAAACCCACCCGCAAAUGCUUGCUUGAGUGUCAAUCGUAACCCAGACCCGAGUCCUGUUUCCCUUGCCAAACCCUGCGUCCCCACCCCUGCAACACAUAGACAAAGAAGAGAAAGAACGAAGGAGAGAGAGUGAAGCAAAAAUCUGCCUGCUUUGUGAAUUUUGAGUGAUAAACAGAGAAAGAUAUGAGAGGCUGGGACUAGAGACAGUACAAGCAUGGGUCGAGUUUCUUGUUGGUGUUGGUGGCUCUGAGAAUUUCAUAUUGUUCUUGGAGACUAUAUGCAUUUGAUUUUUCUGUUUUGUAGUUUUGCAUUUGUUUAAUUUGAUUUAGUUUUUGUUUUUUUUACUUUGUUUAAUUUUUGUUUUAGAUUUUUAGAUAAAAAAAGUUAUAGUUUUUUAAUUAAUUAAAAAUAUUUAUGUUUUUUA